GGCUGUAGCGAGCCGAGCUGAGCAGGCGCAACCGACCUGCGAGAGGAGGCCGAGCUAGCGUACCUACAAGGGAAGAUCAAGUGCGGGACUGAUGUCCCCGGAAUAUCUCCGACGAUCAAGUCAGUGAGCUUAUACUCGGAGCAAUAGUCUAGAAUACUUGUGUUUGCGUACCUUGUAUAGUCCUUACGCUGAUUAUAUAUAGAGCAGAAUGGGUUGCAGUUUCCUUAUUGGAGUCAGCGUCCCCUUAGGGUUCGGAGUCUUCUUAGGGUUUCGUGCGGCGGCUCCUACAAGUUCGGAGACGGCGGCCCAUAGGCCCAUCUCAAGAAUCGAUAAGUAAGGCCGAGCUGGCCUCCAUAUGCCGAGCUUGCGCCUGCGAGUUGCGAGGUCUCACAGCCGACCUGGCGAGCAAGACCUGCCGAGCUGACACGUGGCACGCGCAGGUUCACCCCACUACACUAGCCCCCUUGAGUCUAGAGUCACUGAUGAGCCAUGUGGGUCUGGACCAAACUUCGAAGCGUCACGUCGGCUUCGUGCGGGACCCACAAUCCCACGACCACGUAUCUCCUCCGAAAAACUGCCACGUCCGCCGUCGUAACCGUCACUUCAAGGGUCACGUCCUUCAUGAUGGCGGUUUGUCAGCUCACGCGUCUUCCAAGGUAACUGCUCCUUUGCAAUAAAUCCGAAUUUAUUCCUCGGGACUCUCCGGCUUCCCGCCCAGGGAGCCUAUAAAUAGGCCCCACCAAACGUCACUUUCAAGCCUUCCUUUUCAUUUUCUCUUCUCCUCCAGUCUUCCUCAGCUCGCUCCGCACUCCGUGAGGUCGUCCGAGAGUAGGAUUACCUUCUAAGCACACUUCAGCUCUUCUCCUCUAUCCGCCAGUAAGUCCUCUCCUUCCUUUUAUGUCGUCUUCCUCCGCACACUCAGACCUUACUAGCUCAGUACCUAGGCGUAGGAUUACCCGACCUGCAUUCAUAGAAAUACCUUCCUCCAGCCCCUCUUCUUCCAGCUCGUCUGACUCUGAAUAUCUCGCUCCCCCAGCCCCACCUCUUGCUACAGCCAUGGACCAACCUGGCCCAUCUGCUCAGCCCGGGGCUGGAGCUGCUGUCCCAGGGAUCCCUCUGGAGGUAGCCCCAGCUCGCUCUAGGGUAGGACCCCCUAGGGGGCCAGACAUCGACUUUGGAGAAGUCGAAAUUAUUCCCCCCCUUCUCGACCAGGGGGACGUAGAUGAGCUAGUGGGGAGGUAUGACAUCCUUCCCCAGUUCGAGGCUAGGGCAGCCCGGCCAGGGGAGUACGCUUGCCUACCUCCCCCCGGGUUUGUAGCUAUCUACAGGGAUCAGCUCGUGGCUGGCCUUCGCCUUCCUAUUCCCCAAUUCCUUUACGACAUCCUGACCUUUUGGGGCAUUCGAAUCACCCAGGUCGUUCCCAACGCCAUUCGGUCCAUUCUCGGCUUCUUUAUUUUAUGCCGAGCUCUUGAAAUCCCUUAUUCCCUGAACUUAUUUAGGUCCUUCUUUCAGAUGAAGGUAAGUGGCCCAGUUCACGGUUGGUUCUACUUUGCUCGCAGGAGCGGAGGGGAACUUCCUACCCGCGAACUGUUCACUCAUAUGCCUUCUUCCAUCAAGGGCUGGAAAGCCUACUUCUUUUUUGUGAAGAAUACUGGGUUUCCUCCCCUAACCUGGAGAGAGGAUACCCAAGUAACCGAUCCAAUCCCUUCUCCUCUGCCCGAGGCCGAGCUAGACCGCUUGGUCAGCUCGGAAGCUCAACUGAAGGUGAAGGAAUUUAACAAUGCCCAGCUCUGGUCGGCGGGGCUAAUCCGAGCAGAGGUGAACGACCCUGCCCCCGAUCUCAAAAACCAGAUCCGAGUUGGGCUGUAGCGAGCCGAGCUGAGCAGGCGCAACCGACCUGCGAGAGGAGGCCGAGCUAGCGUACCUACAAGGGAAGAUCAAGUGCGGGACUGAUGUCCCCGGAAUAUCUCCGACGAUCAAGUCAGUGAGGUUAUACUCGGAGCAAUAGUCUAGAAUACUUGUGUUUGCGUACCUUGUAUAGUCCUUACGCUGAUUAUAUAUAGAGCAGAAUGGGUUGCAGUUUCCUUAUUGGAGUCAGCGUCCCCUUAGGGUUCGGAGUCUUUUUAGGGUUUCGUGCGGCGGCUCCUACAAGUUCGGGGACGGCGGCCCAUAGGCCCAUCUCAAGAAUCGAUAAGUAAGGCCGAGCUGGCCUCCAUAUGCCGAGCUUGCGCCUGCGAGUUGCGAGGUCUCACAGCCGAC
rnacentral:lncRNA from 1 species